GGCGGGACACGUGGUAUCCUGUCUGAAUAUGGGGGGACCAUCCUCCAAGGCUAAAUACUCCUGACUGACCGAUAGUGAACCAGUACCGUGAGGGAAAGGCGAAAAGAACCCCGGCGAGGGGAGUGAAAAAGAACCUGAAACCGUGUACGUACAAGCAGUGGGAGCCUCUUUAUGGGGUGACUGCGUACCUUUUGUAUAAUGGGUCAGCGACUUAUAUUCUGUAGCAAGGUUAACCGUAUAGGGGAGCCGAAGGGAAACCGAGUCUUAACUGGGCGUUAAGUUGCAGGGUAUAGACCCGAAACCCGGUGAUCUAGCCAUGGGCAGGUUGAAGGUUGGGUAACACUAACUGGAGGACCGAACCGACUAAUGUUGAAAAAUUAGCGGAUGACCUGUGGCUGGGGGUGAAAGGCCAAUCAAACCGGGAGAUAGCUGGUUCUCCCCGAAAGCUAUUUAGGUAGCGCCUCGUGAA
rnacentral:rRNA from 2 species